rnacentral:rRNA from 1 species
UACGUAGGGAGCAAGCGUUGUCCGGAAUUACUGGGCGUAAAGCGCGCGUAGGCGGCUUUGCAAGUCGAGUGUGAAAUCCCCAGGCUCAACCUGGGAACUGCAUUCGAGACUGCAUAGCUAGAGUAUGGGAGAGGGAAGUGGAAUUUCAGGUGUAGCGGUGAAAUGCGUAGAGAUCCGGAGGAACACCAGUGGCGAAGGCGACCACGCUGGGCCGUACCUGACGCUAAAGCGCGGCAGCAUGGGGAGCGAACGGG